AAAAAAACAUAAAACCCACCACCAAAAUUGCUUCUCUCUUAUCUUCUCUCAAAAUAAAACCUUCAUAAAUUCAUACAUCGGUCAAUCAUGUUAGGUCAAUCAUAGAAGCCAUGGAUAUCGUUGGAAAAUCAAUUAGGUGGACACGUUUUGGAAAUUUUCUUGGUAAACAAACACAAGACCAAGAACCUUAAACUCUCAAUCACCACUGGAAGAAGAUUCAACCACCAUCUUCCUCCCCAGCCACCAUUUCGCGCAUCUUUACCCAUCGGUUUUCACCUACAAGAAACUACUCUCAUCCACUAACGACUUCGACCCUAACUGAAAAAUCGGCGAUGGCGAAACACCUUCAUGAUUCCUGUAGUGAUCCUUAUGGAUUGAUUCUCGUUCGCGAUUACGUUCCAAGCAGAACCCUAGCAGAACAUAUUCACAGUUCAAAGAGUAAACGAAAUGGUUAUAAGAUGACGUGACAAAAGAGACUUGAUAUCACAAUCUCUUUUGGAAUUUCUAUAUAUAUUUGAUAUUGCAAAUCACUGGUAGCUUAUAUUUCUAUAUUCUUCAUUUCUUUAUCCUUUCCCUGUUUGGACUUUCUGGGUUUUUUUAUAGAGUUUUUUUUCUUGAGUUUUAUGAGUUUAAAGAGUGUGAUUUAUGUGUUUUUUUCUUGCAUAAAAGGUGUAUAUGGAUAUAUAAAUAAAUUUGCAUUACUUACUAUCA